rnacentral:sRNA from 2 species
GGUAUAGGACAUUGUGUAGCUUGGGUUGUGCUGCCCAUCUUCUCAGUCCGAAGGCUCAAUGAUGGCCGCUGUAGGUGAUGCAGCGGACUUUCUGAUUCGGUGGCAGUGAGCUAAUCGAAAAAAUUGAGUGUAUGCAGCAGGAAAAUAUCUUGAAGAAGGUGGUUAAUGAAGCAGUUAUCCGCUAAGUGGCCGUUGAUGAACGUCGUUGAUCAGACAGAGCCUGUGCCGUUUUGUUUCAUCGUGAAAACGGGUCAGGACAUCCAAAGGUCAUUUUACCAGAUAUGGGUUGCCCCCUGUUCACCAUG